UCAAUGCUAGAAGAUAUGCGCGAAAAAUAAAACGGUCGUUUUUAAGGCGAUGUCGUGCCUGUAUUAAUGCCGGUGGAAAACAAUUCGAACAUUUACUUUAAUGUUGUGUAAUUAAAAUAACAAACACAUUUUUGGAACAUAGUAAAAUUUAUUACUAACAACAAGAACAAUUAAGAAAUUUGGUUCUUGUUUACAAAUGGUACGCAUAUUUUUUUUUGUGACUAGUUAUCCUAGGGUAUUAUACUAUUUUGAAAUCUUGAUUAGUUGCGUCAACUUUGAAAAUAACUUGCCAUAGCGGUGUUCAUACUUUUUUUUGCAAGACCAUGAGUCAAAGUAGACUGAAAGUAAAAAUCUUUAAAAAUUUGAGGGAAAAAAAAUAUUUUGAUAUUUUUUUGUGUAAAAACUGCGGGCAUUGUGGUGUUUUUAAGAGUUGUGGUGAAUAGUAGUACUACUUAGGUUCCGAUACAAAAAAAAUCUUAAGCAUAUUUAAGAAAUUGUAGCUGCGGUAGUUCAAAAUAUCAUACAAGGUGUAAAUUUUCAAAGAAUUUUAAAAUUUAUUUUGUAACUAAAAAAAAAAUUUAGGUAUAUUUUUUUUAUUAUUUUUCCUUAAGUGCUCAUGAGCAGGUCAAUCUUUUGGCGCCCGCUUAUCGUUGAAUUUUGGGACACGUUGUAUAAUAUUUAUGUAUUUCGAUCGGUAAGUCAGUUAGGUAUAGAUUAGGUCUAGGUUUUACAGAAGAGGACAGAAAGAGAAUCGAUAGGCCUAGUUCGGACUUCGAACUAUUCUUACUCGAGUACGAACGAUUUUUGAGCGGUAAAUUCAAAAGUUGUUCUUACUCGACUAAAAUACUAAAGUAGUCUGUACGGCCUUUUAGAGACAGAAAUAAACGUCUAUAGCGGGUUUCCACAAGGUUCAAUAUUAGGCCCAACAAUAUUGUAUCUAUAAAUAAGUACUUAUAAUAAAUGUGUACCAGGCUCAAUUAUGAAGAUAUUUUGAAAUUUUUUUUUGCAGAGCAUUAAAAAAACUUACCUAACGCCAAAAAUAUUUUUUUAUUUGUUUACUGACUGUCUGUAUUUUGUUGAUCAGGCAUCACGCUGAAACUACUGAAUGCAUUCAAAUUAAACUUGGCAUGAUUUGAGACCAUGAUACAAAUAAGGUAACAGAAUUCUUUUGUCGAGAAUAAAAUCAUAAGUGAAAGUUUAUAAGUUUAUAUGGAAAGUCCUUUAUUUUUCAAGUUACGUUUGUAAAAAAAAUUGGUAUGUGAACUACCAGAAAAAUGUUAAAAAUAAUGUCAUUCAAGAUUUAUAAAAAUCUACCCAUAUUUAAAGAGUUAGAAAUACAUUUUAAGUAUAAUAGGUAAAGUCCUUUUCAUGAAAGGAGUCAGACGCGGCGCUAAUGUCAGUGGCGUUCAUUGUCAUUUGGUAAUGACGGUCUUAUUUUCAUUAUUUUGUGUAAUGGCGUUGUCAAUACUAUACAAUAAUUUUAGCCGCGAAACUCCUUUCAUGAAAACUUUCUAUUAUCUACGUUUAUCACUUUUUAAAUAAAUUAUUUAGAAAUUAUUUAGGCAGUAGGUAUAUAGAUAGUGUUAAUUUAUUAAAAAGUUUGAAUAUUGUACUUAUGUUUGUAUUUUUGAAGAUAAAGAUAAUUAAAGUAGGGUAAAUCUAGGAUGCAACGUCCAAACUGGGGCCUAAUUGUCUAACGGAGUUCAUUGAUCGUAAAGUUCAUACGAUCGGCUACGAUCAACGAUCAAUCGUAACUUUACAUUGGUAUUGUCUAAUUUAGUUCAUUAUAUGAAGACCGGAUGGUGAACGAUGAACUGAAAUCAUUCAUGAAGAUUGCGUAUUGUUUAUGCAAAACGAUAGUGAAACUAUCGUUAAUAAUAUUAUCAAAUUUAAGUCAAACUUCAUAAUAAUGCAUAUAUUUUAACAAAGUUUUAUGUCUUUUGUUUAAAACAUUAAAGAAGCAUUAAAUUUCACGAAAAAUAUCUACUAUUGAAGAAAAUAGCGUGAGAAAAUGGUACAUGCAACUCAAGUAACAAAACGCAAUUAACGAAUUUAACCAAGGGCUAUUUGGACUAUUUGGUAAUCUCCCUGUUGUCUGUGUAGGCUAGUGUCAAAAUAACGGGGUAUCCUAUUAGUCUGUGGUGAAACAUAGCAUAUUAAUAACCUGUGGAUUAUAAAUUUUAAUUUAACCAAACAAAACAAAAUUUUUAUUUUUCAGGUUUUAAAGAGAAUUUAGAAAUUGAGCAAAGUUUUACUAAAUUAUUGUGAUCUUCGGAGCAAAGUUUACUUCGUUUGUGUUAUUGUUAAUCAAAAAUAUAAAAGAAAACUACCUCUAUCUAAUUUUGUCGAUGUCCAUUUCUUAAGAAGUUUCUCAUUAAAACAACCCUUAACUCAGGAAAGGCAGGGCUAAGGUGGUUAGCGUAACUACAAGUGGUUAACUUACAGUUAGCCAACUGAAGAACAAUCAACAAUGCCCGAUUAAUAAGUGAUCGCGCUGCUUGUCUACUACAUGUCCCUGCACUAGUUAUAGCAGUAAUUUCUUUGUUGGGAAGUAUUUAGCACAUCCGGGCUGCGCAAAAGGAGAGGACUAAAUUGAUUAUUAUGAACAGACCAUUAUGAUGAACCACUGAUAUUGACUCGAGAGACAUGAAGAUGAGUGCUUUGACAACAAGACUGACUAGCUGAGCCAGCUUAAGAAUUAUGUGGUGUGUGUGUCUAAUUCCAGGAGCUCUCUAUGUCAGCCAUCCAUCUAUAUUCUUACUCAUUUUUGUUAAUUAUAAAAUAAAUUUGA